UACGGGGGGGGCAAGCGUUGUUCGGAAUUACUGGGCGUAAAGGGCUCGUAGGUGGCCAACUAAGUCAGACGUGAAAUCCCUCGGCUUAACCGAGGAACUGCGUCCGAUACUGAAAGGCUUGAAUCCGGGAGAGGGAUGUGGAAUUCCAGGUGUAGCGGUGAAAUGCGUAGAUAUCUGGAGGAACACCGGUGGCGAAGGCGGUCUGCUGGGCAGUUGCUGACACUGAGGCGCGACAGCGUGGGGAGCAAACAGG
rnacentral:rRNA from 1 species